GUUGGCCGUUUCCGCGUGAACGACACUUUGCCCAAUCUGGUCCGCGCGCUACGCACCCAAUCUCGCUCGCACACCAGCCGCCGCACAACCCUAGCUCCCACAUUCCCCUCGAUCCACUGCUCCUCCCUCCUUCCCGCUCGUCACCAGGGCCUCGCCGCCGCCUACUCCUCCUCCCCCACCGUUGCUGCUUCCCCACCUCGACUUCCCUCUCUCCGUUGUUUAUCCGGUCGUCGGCGGCGCCUUGUUCCAGAUCUGGCGCAAGUUAGGCCCGGUGGUGGGGCGAAGGGGCAGUGGAGGUGGGCGACCAGGACAAGCAGCUGUCGGCCCGUCGCGGGUGAGGCUCCAAGAGGGAAGAGGCGGGGACAGGAGGCUCGAGGGAAGAGGGAUGAGGCGGGGACAGGUGAAGGAGCAGGCUGGUCCUCGUGGAGGCGGCGCCGCCGGCCAGGGGCCAUUCACCGUCGCCGGCCUCACUCGCCUCGUCUAUUCUCUCGUCACCAACUCGACAAUGGAGGAUGGGACAAGCAUGCCGGUGGCCAUCCAGUGGAGCCCCACCACAGGUGGUGAGAUUUUUCUCUGCUGUCUUCUUACUCUGGGGCGUGCCCUGGAAGAACUCACCCACACCAGCCAAGGAGGAUCCAUGAUGUGUGUGAGGUAGAGGUGGAUCAUUGGAGGUGAAGCAGGUCUCCUUGAGUUGUGCUUCAUCUGAGUUUCACGGGGUACUUAAGCAAUGGUUGCACCCCGCCACAUCACAUACCAGAUGCUCAGAUUAUAAGAAAGAGAAUUUUAUAAGUCAGGCAUCGAUUGCUCACCUUUGAAAGUUACAGAUUCAAGUGCUAGGCUUUAAGAAUGAAGCAAAUCCCAAUCUAGAAACAUGUUUCGUGCACCAUAUAUUUGUCACCAGAAACGAAUGCGCAGGCGACAGCCAUUUGAUUAGUGUUAUAUCCAACUAAGGUAUCCUUCCACCAAAUGACCACAUCUGAAUUUGUUUAACUACAAUCCGAUGCAAUAGAGUUAUGUAUUGUUCUCAUAGUCCAUCCAUUAUAUUUUGGCUUUCAAGGCUAGCUGACUGCAGUUUGAUUAUCGAUUCAUCUAUGGCAGCACAGACAGGUAAAAAUGUUUUUUUUCUUGUUUUACAGUUUUAGGUCAAAGUUCUCUUUUACCUUAACUUUUCAAUUGUACUCUGCUUUGUAGGUUCUCAUCAUACCGAUUUAGUGACUUACUACAGUUUGAUUGCUAAUUCAUAUUUUAUUCUUUUAUAUUAUGCAGCUUCCUCUGUGUACUGUUGGGAUAAAUUCCAUGACUUUGUAUCUUGUUUAAAUGGCUAGGAUUUGAGAUUGUUUGAAUCCAUUAUGACACAAUGUUCUGACCAUUAACUAGGGUGCUCAAUGCGCAAUAGAUAGCUUUUGGUUGUCACCAUUAGGACAGAAAAGUACUAGAUUUUGAGGUUUUUAAUAGCUCAAAUAUGCUAACUGCAGAGCAACAUGGCAGUUACAAUGGUUCCAUGUCCUAAUUAGUUAUUUUAUUUCGUUUUGCAGGCGUAUUAUCUUGGAGGUUGCUUCUUAUUUUUACUAUAGAUCAAGUUUCUUUGUUUCCUUUCUAGCUACCUCUGCUGCAUUUGUUUUAUAUAUCCUAUAUGCUUUAAAUAUCCUAUACACUGUCAUGAUCCUUGCUUCAGUGAUCAUGUUGAUUUUCCAGAUUUGGUCGGGUGUUGUGUUUUUUUUGGCCCUUGUGCGCUUUGAUCGAUGUGCUCUGGCUCUGUGACUGAUGAUGCACAGGCAAUGGCAGCAUCGGUGGCACGAGAGGAAGGAUGGGAAUCAGCUACUUGCAUUCGCACGGAGGAGGCAAUGUCGACGCGAUGGCACAGCAGAGGAGGCUGGGCUCGUUGUGGAGCUUCUUGAGGCAGCAGGACGUCGGCGAGAGCAUCGCUGCCGGCAACGGCUCGAGUGACCUCUUGAGGAUCUUCUCCAUGAGCACAUGUGACGACACCAACUCCAACGUCAUCUUCUCAGCGCCCGGCAGCAAGAAGGCCGAGGUGCUCGGCGACAGCGAUGUCGGCAUGGUCACCAGCUUCAGCAACAUCGACUCCCAGAACUGAAUAUACACGUAGGAGAAACUUGAGAGCCAAUAUUAGUGCUGAAGGAUUACUCUGAUUGCUGAUCUAUGUUGUCGCGGCAACACAGGCCAAUACACAUUCAGGAAAUAUGUGACCAGCUUCCCCAAGGUCCCGCAUCGUCUACUCAGUAAGCCAAGGUGGAGGUUGGGAAACAAAGAACUUGCCCAACUGUGGAAAUGGGCAGAACUAAACCCUGUAUGUUUUAGCUAGAACUUCCUGCUAUUGUCCUAUUUGAAGGAGCAACAAUGCAUUAAGCGCAAAAAAUACGUCAGUUAGGCCUUUUUUGUCUUACUAUCCAAUUUUACUUCUAUAUACAAAUGUUAAAAGAGUCUGAGUGGGGACACUCUAUUUGGAAAGGGAUUUUGUACAGUUUUUCUGCAAGUUACUACUUCAUUAGUGGAUUGGCCUACAUAGUAUUCAUAAAAAUUAAUCAUCCAAUUCCCUCUAUGUGUCCUUGGUCACAUUUCUUGUCUGUUCAAUUUUUGGAAACCCGCAUCUUAUUUGAAUUGAAACUGCUGAGUGCUUUGACUGAUCCUGACCGAGUCCACACACCAUCACUUACAGAAUACUGGAAGCCACUUGCAGAAGAUGUAAACCCUUUACCUUUUCUUUCAUAGUUACUCCCUCCGUCCCAAAAUAAGUGACUCAACUUUGUACUAGCUUUAGUACAAAGUUAGUACAAAGUUGAAUCACUUAUUUUGGGACGGAGGGAGUACUUUGCACCAAUGGUUCUAAUACUGGGUUUUCAAGAUAAACUUGCAGAUGGACACAUCUGCCAGAGAGACGGCGGCCAUGAGAGCCGGAAGAUCACAAGAGAUCGACCUUUUGGGUGGUCUAAUACUUCCUGUAUGGGCACAUAGAAAAGCCACUACAGAAAGGCACCCGAAGAUACCAAUAUAUUCAGCUCACAGAACAUUUUACAGUCGAGAUUACACCAUCUGCUAGAAUAAAGAGAAAGAAGAACUGCAGAUGUAAAGAAAGAAGAGCUGAAUAAAGACAUAUGAGAGAGCAAGGAACAAGAUCCUUGUUGAAGAACAGCAUGUCCUAAGAAACAAAGGAAGAGAAAGGGAAAAGAAAAUUCCAGCUUUGACAGCAAUCUCCUUCUUUCCAACAACCGAGCAUAGACCAUCAUAUCAUGUUGAGAUGAGGAACUUCCCAGAGCUAUCAACUUUCUCCUAAAAGCAAUACACCUUAUGAAGCUGAAUUCCUACAAAAUUAAAAUCAACAAGAGAGGCAGCUACAGGACAUGAUUCAGUGACAUGAGAGUGAGAAGAGCAAUUGAGUGUAGGUCCUCCAGCCAUUUGAAAAACUUGAUGAGCUAAAUUGUGAGCCACCCCAUUCAAAUUCCUAGAAAUAUGAAAAACUUGGGGAUUAAGAUUAGAAGUAGAGUUUACAAAAGAAGCCACUUCUUUUCUAAUAUUCUAAGGAGUAGAAGAGUGAGCAAUAUUCCUGGCAGCAGCAACAGUGGCAAGAGAAAGAGAAUCAAUUAAAAAAGUAGGAGUUUGAAUGUUAAGGAGUUUGAAUGUUAAGGCAAGCCGCCAAUUGAGCUGCACAAGCAAGAGCAAUUGCUUCAGCUUGAAGAGGAGUGUCCGUCGAAGGGCCUGAAGCUUGAACUUGAAUAUUUAUUUCCCUAUUAGAAGAAGGAAGACAAAAGUAAACUCCCACACCUGUGCGCGAUUGACCUUGCUGAAAUCCUGGAACUCUAGAAGUUCUGAAAGCAGCAUCAGAAAACACUUUAGCACCAUUAAUGAGAAGGUCUGAUUUGAGAGUA